rnacentral:rRNA from 1 species
UUAACGACUCUCGGCAACGGAUAUCUCGGCUCACGCAUCGAUGAAGAACGUAGCAAAAUGCGAUACUUGGUGUGAAUUGCAGAAUCCCGUGAACCAUCGAGUUUUUGAACGCAAGUUGCGCCCGAAGCCUUUUGGCCGAGGGCACGUCUGCCUGGGCGUCACAC